rfam:Cricetulus griseus cell line CHO-K1, whole genome shotgun sequence.
CUCCCUGCCCCUCCCCGAGCCAGCCUCUGCCAAGGACCUUGACCUAGCAGGGACUUGGUCGCCACGCUUAGCUCCCCCUGACCUGCUUUUGAACCCGCUAAUCCCACCCCAACUCUUUCCCCGACUAUGUUCGCUCCACGCGCUAAUUCCCGCUGGCCCCGCAACCCCCACUCUCUCUCUCUCUCUCUCUCUCUCUCUCUCUCUCUCUCUCUGCCCAGGAAGCUCUGAAGGGCACCACCAGGGCUCCACACCGUGUGCCGGACUCACGCCUCACGCCGGAGCUCCCCAUCAAAGGAGAUGGCCUCUACUACAAACAUCUCUUCUCUUGGCUCCCCUUAAUUUAAUUCGUUUUUAUAAAUAAUAGCCGUACUAAUAUCACAGUCUUCAGCAACGAAUCUGACAAACUGAAGGUGAGAUGGAGCAUUGGUCAUUGUGGCUGGCCAGAGACUAGGGAUUGGGAAGUAAGCCUGAAGCUGGUGGCCGGCCAAAGACUGGAAGAACCGCUGACCCAG